GAAGCGAAGGGAAACACCAAGUCGCAGCUGAAGUCAUGAAUGAUGUUUCUUAUCACCGUUACUGACCGCAGCAGUGGAGUGAGUGACACGUCGAACCAGAAUCAAGUGACUCAUUCAGAGGUUCCAUGUGUUGCCUUUGAAUCAUUUGUUCUCCACGUUACCCACGUUGCGAUGCCGCAUGGAGGACAUGUGUCUAAUUUUGUGUCUUUUUACCCUCGGAGGAUCAUUUCACAAAGGUUUAGCAGUUUUGAUCCAAACCCAGCAGACGGUGUUGGCAGCAGUAGGAGAAGAUGCUCCUCUCAGCUGUUGGCUCCUGGAAACUAAAGACGUCCAGCAGGUCACCUGGCAGAAAGUGUUGGAGAAAACAGAGAGGAGUAUUGGUUCCUACAGCCAGUAUUUUGGUGAAACAGUGAAUCCUGGAUUUAAAGAUAAAGUUCAGUUUACAGAAGCUGGACUGCAGAAGAACUCUAUAGUUAUCAGGAACGUUACAGAGCAGGAUGCAGGAUGUUAUCUCUGUCUGUUCAACACCUACCUUGAUGGAGCUCUGAUAGCUGCAACCUGCCUGGAGGUUUAUGAGCUGCAUGGACCCUUCAUUGACAUCAGCAGGUCAAACUCUCCUCCAGGGUCGGUUGUGACCUGUUCAGCCACAGGUCGGCCUGUUCCCAUGGUAACACUGACUGUUCUCCAUCAGAACCUCAGCUUCUCCCACUACAACACCAGUACAGAGACCAACACCAACGGUACCGUCACCGUCACCACUAAAGUUCUGCUCUCAGAUCUCAGCAGCACACAGGUUGGAUGUUCAGUGUCAGUGGACUCUGCUGCUCCCAGAGAGCUGCUGGUCACCGUUCCUGAGGUCAAAGAUUCGUCUGAUGAUGGUUUGAAUAACCAAUCGGAGUCAGAUUUCAGAGGUUUCAGAUGGCCUCUGAUUGCUGUAUUUGUUGUAUUCCCGAUGUUCCUGAUCUGUAUUUGUGUUUUACAAUUCAGAUGAAUAUCUCAGAUCAGGAAUUUGAAACCUUCAGAGAACGCCACAGACAAUCAGAAGCCUGGCAACUCACCAGUGUGAAACAGAGACAUCAGAUUACGAACAUCUGAGAGGCAGAGACAAAACAGCGAGUCCCAUCCAUCACCAUGACAACAGAAUUACCUCAUUUGGAUGUCUGAUUAAUAGGACUUUUAUCCAGAGAUGUAUGAAAAACAUUACAUAUAUUGCAUGUAUAUGGUGUCACUUCAUAGCAUUAUCAAAUAACCUUUGGUUUUUAUGAAUGUACCGUUCAGAUCAGAAAUGAUGUCAAAGAACUAUAACUUAUUUUUUGCCACUGGAGAUUCUAGAAUUUUUCAGAAAUGCAUCAAUGUGUCAGUGCAACACAGCAGGUAUGUUUUUGAUGAGGGAACAACAUUAUAACAUGAUAAGUAGAUUUUACAAAGACAAUAAUUUCUGAUCAAAUUGAAACAAAAUACUAAAAUUUCAAACUUGAUAUUGAAACUAAGAAAAUACUCAAUAUUAUUUUUGAUUUUUGAAGUGACAGGGUUCUUUCUAGGUAAGAAAGAAAAAUGAAAUUGUUCAGCAGCAGCUGUACAAUUAGCUUGUAGCAUGAGCAUGUAGCAUUAGCAUGCAGCAUUAGCACAUUCAGCAUAAGUUUCUUCCCUUUCUCCGUUUAUACGUUUAUAUUGUGUUCUGGUUGAAUUUGCUGUUAGAUUUUAAUUCUUGCAGCAGCUCAUUGACAAGAUGGUGACUUUCUGUUAGUUGCUGUGAUGCUGCUGGAAGAAGCAGCAUAUUUGCUCGCAACAAUGUGAGCAAAUAUGUAUUGGUCUGUCAUUAUCAAUUUUAUUUUUGAAUAAUUCCUGUUUCUAGUACCGAUUGUGUUUAGAUAUUGAUUAUUUUGAUGACCUCAGUGGUUAGACUUUUUGUCAGGCAGUCAGAAGGUUGUGGGUUUGAUUUCAAUUUCCUGCCAUCUCAUGUUUGAUGGAAGAGUAAGGCACUUAAUAUGCGAUGUAAUGUAUAGAUUCUUCUGGAUUUAAAACUAUGCACACAUUCAGCCAUAUCUGGAGGUUCAAGCACUAAUGUAGAAAACGCACUUUGAUUUCAGAAAGUUAUGAAGGAACUCGGCAGUUGAAUUUUACCUUCAACAAAUCGGACUGAGAAACAUUUCCAGCAUUAUAAGCUGAGCUGAAGGUAAACACCAAGUUACAGCUAAAGUAAUGAAGGAUAUUGAUUGCACUGUUAUUAUUUAUACUGAGGGAAAGUACAUGAGUGAGACAGAAGAAGGAGAUAUGAUGGAUGGGUUAAAAUAAUUAAGAUUCUAUCAUAAAGUACUAUAUUAGUCAUGAUUUACGUACGUAAAGGUUUCUUUUAAUUUAUUGUUAUUAGACAUUUUUGCACCCUGUCUUCAUUUUGUUACAAAAAACUUUAUGGAGUCUCUAAUUUCCAUUUUUCAUCAAUUUCAACUACUGAUGUCCGCUGUGUGUAAGUUUUGGUGACCAUUACUCACUAAGAUGCUGUAUUAAAAAAUAUUGUUAAAUAUUCA